ensembl:lncRNA
CGACGCGACUCCUCCCAAGACAGCGGCCCGGCCUCUCUCGGGCGGCGGCUCCAACUGGGGAUGGGGGUUGGGGGUCGGGUGGGAAGGGAGGGUGGGGUGGGGGGCGGGGGUCACCACAAGCCCAUUCACCGGCUCCCUCCGGGCGGGCGCUCGGGCUCCUUUCCUCCCUUCUUCCCUGCCUUCCACCCUAAGGUGCUGCUGGCGGCGCGGCGGUUGCUCUCUGGCGGCGGGGAGGGACCCCGGGGGGCAGCUAGGAGCGCGGCUGGUGCUCGGGCGGCGGAGGGAGGAAAGAAGGGAGGCAGUAAGUGAGCGGCGCCUCGCGGGGAGGGAGAGAGGGCGGGAGGAAGGCGGAGGGAUAUUCGGUCCGGACCUCUCCCCGGCAGCACCGCGCUCCACAGCAAUUGGUUUCCGCCGUGGCCACACGGAAUCCCCAAUUGGCCAGUCGGCCGGCGUUGAAGGGGCGCCCUGUGCCCAUUCGCCCGCGGGUUUCAAGGACCCGGGUUGGCUAGGGCAGAGGAAUGGGGCGCGCAGAUUGGCCGAAGGGAGGGACGUUGGGGUGGGGCAGGUGAGAGCCGGCCGCUGAUUGGGUGAGCCUGGCAAGGGUCUUGGGCUCAGACGGGCUGAGCGCGAGGAGGGUGGUGGGCCGGAGGUAAAGCUCAGAGCUCUCGUGAUUGGCUGGGGUCCUGGACGUUGAUAGGUCAGGGCGCCGGGGAGGACUGAGGAGAGGAGUUCGGUCGGGGUCGGGGCGUGCAAAGGCAGAAGACGCCCCGCCGCUUUCGGAGUCUGGCGCGGGGCACGCCGGGACGCCCCGGGAAAGGGCGGAGCUGAGCGCCGGCUGCAGUCCGGACGGCAGCGUCACUGCGGGCGUGCGGAGCGAAGUUUCGCGGGCCUGCGCGGGAAGGGACCGUUAAAAUCUGGGGCCGCGCCCACCGGAAGCGACUGAAUGGCGAGGUCGCCUUGGUAACAGGCCUUUGGCUGGAAGGACCUUGAAGGCCACGUGAUUCGACUUACAGUGUGCGGUGGGAACUCUGACGCCCAGAGAGGGUAUGGAACUGAUCCAAGGUCACACAGCCGGUUAGUGACUUGGUCAGGCCUGGGCUCCGUGCCCCGGAUGCCCUUGGCCCUCCACCCAGCUUCCCCUUCCAGUAGUCUCCACGGCCUGUGGGUAGGGUUUGAGACUCUCGUUGUUACAACAGAGUAGGCUUAGACCCGGUCCAUAGUUAUCAGGUACUCAGUAGAAAUGUUUCAUCCCUACCCUGCCAGGCCUUCCUAUAAGCCACAAUCUUGAACCAGAAAAAAAUGUGUACAAACAAAAAGGAUCGUGGUUAAUGGCCUUUUUAGUCCUUAGCUCCGGAAGAACUCAUGAAAGCCUUUUUAUUUAUUCAUUCUUUUGUUUAUUAUUUUUUGAGACAGGGUCUCACCAUGUAGUGCAAGCUGGCCUUGAACUCACUGUGUAGCCCAGGCUGGCCUUGGGCUUGGCAGCGAUCCUGCACCCUCAGCCUCCCACGUGCUGGGAUUAGGCACCACCACGCCCAGCAAAAGCCACUUAAUGCCUAUAAAGAAGAUUGUGCCUACAGUUAUUUGACUUCCCCAGAAGCAGGUACAUGGGCUCCAGACUCCCACUGGUGCAGUCUCUGGAAUGGAGGGUCCACUGCGUACACCCCCCCAUGGAUGUAAAAGUUCCACGGAAGACCUCAUUAUGAUGCUUCACAUCAUCCAGGAAACAGGAUCCUAAUACCUUGCAGAGAGAAGGUAAAUCCCACCCAAAGACCCAGCCCUCGGAAUGGCCUGGUGCCUCUCACGCCUAGGCUGCAACAGAGGAGAGAGGCUUUUGGAUUAUUUAUGACCAGCAACCUGUAAAUUAGCCAGAUUGCGAAUUCACUCAAUGCUUCUUCAGUUCAAGGCUUUUACUUCCUACCUAUGAAGCCUUUCACGACGCCGGCAAGAGCAUGUGGUGCACCAAAACAAGAAAAUGAGGCAAGAAAUAAAGACAUGUGCUCCAGGAAACAGGACAUUCAACACGGAUGAGAGAUGACAGUGGCUGCAGGCUGGGCUGCAGCCCAGUGGUAGAGCGCUUGCCUUGAGGGUGGGGACUUGGGUUCGAUCUCCAGUGCUGGGAAAAAAACCCUGAAAAAGAAACAACAUAAGCAUAGCAGACUCAACUGCUCAGCUGUGAAUAACAGGUACAGAGACAUAACUGUAGACAGAAUAAGCUGGUUCCCACCAACCCCAGCACAAAUGGCCUGUCCCCCUGUACCCCAAAUGACUGCUUUCCAGCUGCCUGGCAGCCUCUGUUCGAACUAUCCUGUCUUGCUGUUGGUUAAAUAGGACUUGAGUGAGUGAAAUCCAAUUAGUAAGUCAAUACAUUAAACAAAUUCAUUAAAUGUUGAAUUAAAAUGUCAAUAUAAGCCAUUCAUGGUGGGUGAUUGUGCAUGCCUGUAGUAAUAGCAGUUAACAGGGAAGUUGAGGCAGGAGGAUUACUUGAACUGAACGCACAAGUUUAAGUCCACCCUAGGCAGCAUAGCCAGAC